rnacentral:rRNA from 1 species
AUGAACGCUGGCGGCGUGCCUAAUACAUGCAAGUCGCGCGAACAGACGAGGAGCUUGCUCCCCUGACGUUAGCGGCGGACGGGUGAGUAACACGUGGAUAACCUACCUAUAAGACUGGGAUAACUUCGGGAAACCGGAGCUAAUACCGGAUAAUAUAUUGAACCGCAUGGUUCAAUAGUGAAAGACGGUUUUGCUGUCACCUAUAGAUGGAUCCGCGCCGCAUUAGCUAGUUGGUAAGGUAACGGCUUACCAAGGCAACGAUGCGUAGCCGACCUGAGAGGGUGAUCGGCCACACUGGAACUGAGACACGGUCCAGACUCCUACGGGAGGCAGCAGUAGGGAAUCUUCCGCAAUGGGCGAAAGCCUGACGGAGCAACGCCGCGUGAGUGAUGAAGGUCUUCGGAUCGUAAAACUCUGUUAUUAGGGAAGAACAAAUGUGUAAGUAACUAUGCACGUCUUGACGGUACCUAAUCAGAAAGCCACGGCUAACUACGUG